rnacentral:rRNA from 1 species
GGCGGAAUGCCUUUCACAUGCAAGUCGAACGGCAGCAUAGAGAGCUUGCUCUCUGAUGGCGAGUGGCGAACGGGUGAGUAAUAUAUCGGAACGUGCCUAGUAAUGGGGAAUAACUAGCUGAAAGGUUAGCUAAUGCCGCAUACGACCUACGGGUGAAAGCAGGGGAUCUUCGGACCUUGCGUUAUUAGAGCGGCCGAUAUCUGAUUAGCUUGUUGGUGGGGUAAUGGCCUACCAAGGCGACGAUCAGUAGCUGGUCUGAGAGGACGAUCAGCCACACUGGAACUGAGACACGGUCCAGACUCCUACGGGAGGCAGCAGUGGGGAAUUUUGGACAAUGGGGGCAACCCUGAUCCAGCCAUUCCGCGUGAGUGAAGAAGGCCUUCGGGUUGUAAAGCUCUUUCGCAAGAGAAGAAAACUUGCUAUCUAAUAAAUAGUAAGUAUGACGGUAUCUUGACAAGAAGCACCGGCUAACUACGUGCCAGCAGCCGCGGUAAUACGUAGGGUGCAAGCGUUAAUCGGAAUUACUGGGCGUAAAGCGUGCGCAGGCAGUUUUAUAAGUCAGAUGUGAAAUCCCCGAGCUCAACUUGGGAACUGCGUUUGAAACUGUAAGACUAGAGUGUGUCAGAGGGGGGUAGAAUUCCAAGUGUAGCAGUGAAAUGCGUAGAGAUUUGGAGGAAUACCAAUGGCGAAGGCAGCCCCCUGGGAUAACACUGACGCUCAUGGCACGAAAGCGUGGGGAGCAAACAGGAUUAGAUACCCUGGGUAGUCCACGCCCUAAACGAUGUCUACUAGUUGGUUGGUGGAGUAAAAUCCAUGAGUACGCCAGCUAACGCGUGAAGUA